rnacentral:rRNA from 1 species
UACGUAGGGGGCAAGCGUUGUCCGGAAUCAUUGGGCGUAAAGAGCGUGUAGGCGGCCCGGUAAGUCCGCUGUGAAAGUCCAGGGCUCAACCCUGGGAUGCCGGUGGAUACUGUCGGGCUCGAGUCCGGAAGAGGAGUGUGGAAUUCCUGGUGUAGCGGUGAAAUGCGCAGAUAUCAGGAGGAACACCAAUGGCGAAGGCAGCACUCUGGGACGUGACUGACGCUGAGACGCGAAAGCGUGGGGAGCAAACCGG